UUAGCCAACUUUUGUUAGUGCGCACCGAAAAGCAUGGCCAGGCGA
rnacentral:misc_RNA from 1 species